rfam:Triticum aestivum genome assembly, contig: Triticum_aestivum_CS42_TGACv1_scaffold_328260_4BS
AAAAGACUCCCUCCGUCCGGAAAUACUUAUCAUCAUAAUGGAUAAACGGGGAUGUAUCUAGACUUAUUUUAGUUCUAGAUACAUCUCUUUUUAUCCAUUUUGAUGACAAGUAUUUUCAGACGGAGGGAGUACAAC